GCUAUAACAUUGGAGUGUAGUGCUUCCUAGCACAAAUAAUUGGGGGAAAGGUAAAGUUUCACUGUAACUUUGCUUUUUUUCAUCAUCCCUUUGGUACGCAUGCUUCAUCUAGUACAGGGCGUGGCUAGUUUCCCAGUGACAUGAAGGCAAACUCGUCUGUUUUUUUCUGUUGCCGUUGAGAAAGAAGUGGUCUACAGGUUACAGGCUGUGGAAGGGACCAGAGGAUUCUGAUAUGAAGAAUUAUGAUGACACCAUAUCUUUUCUGGGUCAGUGGGGCAGCUUUCAGCAGACUGUCUUCUUCCUGCUUUGUGUCAGCAUCAUGCCCAAUGGAUUUGGAACUUUGUCUCUCGUCUUCUUGACUGCUACUCCCAGUCACCACUGUCUGGUUCCUGAGGUUAACCUGUCCCAAGAUUGGCGCAAUGCUAUCAUCCCGAUAGAGGUGGUGAAUGGGAAACAGGAGCUGAGCAGAUGCAGCAGGUACAGGCUGGAUGUGGUCGAAAACCUCUCUGCUCAGGGAUUCAUUCCUGGCAGGGACGUCAACCUCACUGACCUGGAGCAGGAGGGCUGUGUGGAUGGGUGGAGCUACAGCAAAGACAUCUACCAAUCCACCAUUGUCACUGAGUUUGACCUGGCGUGCAGGGAUCAGUGGAAGGGGCCACUCACCUCCACAAUUGUCUUUCUGGGAUUUUUAUGUGGAUCAUUUGUCUCAGGACAGCUCUCAGACAGGUUUGGAAGAAAGCCUGUUCUCUUUGCCGCCAUGGCCAUUCAGACAAUUUUUACCUUUGCUGAAAUCUUUUCACCUUCUUGGACGGUGUUCUCCAUCCUCAUCUUCAUCAGUGCUGUUGGACAGGUCUCCAACUAUAUAUCUGCUUUUGUGCUGGGCAGUGAGAUCUUGACUGGAAAUGUUCGUGUCCUGUUCUCAUCUAUUGGUGUGUGUGUGGCCUAUGCCUUUGGCUACAUGGUGCUUCCACCCAUUGCCUACUUUUUAAGGGACUGGAAAUCCCUCCUGCUGGGGUCCACUCUGAUUUGCCUGAUCUAUGCCCCCCUCUGGUGGUUCAUCCCAGAGUCUCCUCGAUGGUUGCUCUCUCAGGGAAGAGUGGAGGAGGCCGAGGCCAUAGUGAGAAAGGCUGCUAAGAAGAACAGAGUCGAGGCUCCACUGGUGAUCUUUGAAGAUUGCAUUGCAUAUGCUGAUGAGACAGAGAUGCACUCCAAGGAACAACACAAUAUCUUCGACCUGCUGAGGACAAAAAACAUCAGGAACAUAACUCUUAUUCUGUGCCUUAUAUGGAGCACUUUGAAUACUGGAUACUACGGCCUGUCCCUGAACUCGGCUGAGCUUCAUGCUAACCCCUACAUAAGCAGUUUCCUCUCAGCAGCUGUGGAGGUACCAGCAUACAUUUUCUGCUGGGUGGUAGUGCGAUACUUUCCACGACGACUGUCUGUCACCUGUCUCUUGCUGCUCGGAGGAGUGUCACUGUUCUUAAUUCAACUGGUACCCCAAAGUUUAUCAGAUCUGGCUGUUGCUCUGGAAAUGGUGGGUAAAUUUGGUUUGUCCACUGGUUCAGCCCUGAUCUAUAUCUACACAGCAGAGAUUUACCCAACAGUGCUGAGGAACACUGCAACAGGGACAUGCUCUUCUGUUUGCAGAGUGGUUACCUGCUUUAUGCCCUUUAUAUUAAAGCUGAGUGUAUACUUUAAGUACCUGCCUUAUAUAAUCCUGGGGACUCUGUCUGUUGUGUCUGCCUUCGCUGCUCUCUUCCUGCCAGAGAGUUUUGGACGACCUCUACCUCAAACUAUUCAAGAGAUGCAUAAGAGAGAACGUUGGGUUCCUAAAGGAAUAUAAAGCCCCUAUGUGUGGAUUUGACUUUGGCAACUCUAAAAGGAUGAAGAGUCCAUUCAUCACAAGAAUCAAAAGAUAUGGAGCUUUUUGAAAGUCAGCUCUUUACAUGAGUUACUAAGUAUACGAUUCCUUCUAUUUACCAUUUUUAUGAUCAAACAUUUCCAUCCCAUAAGUUCAAUCAGAACAAGUGGAUUCAAUGGCAUUAUAUGACAUUUCACUGCACUCUAUGCAGUCCGCUUCAAUGGCAGUUAUGAAAUUAGUUGAAGACAUAUCCACUGCAAUGGACAAUAGAGAGCAUACAAUAGGGAUUUUCAUAGAUUUGAAGAAGGCAUUUGAUACAAUAGAUCAUAAUAUAUUGCUACAUAAACUUGAAAGAUAUGGGUUCAGAGGAAUUGCACACACUUGGCUAAAAAUUAUCUGGACAACAGAUACCAAUAUAUGCAACUAAGUGAUGUGAGGUCCAAUAUGCUUAAAAUAACUUGCGGGGUGCCGCAGGGUUCAAUAUUGGGGCCCAAGUUGUUCAUUCUGUAUAUUAAUGACAUUUGUAGUGUGACUAAUGAGUUCAAUUAUGUAUUAUUUGCUGAUGAUACAACCUUAUAUUGCUCAGGGGAAAACUUAGAAUUAUUUCUCAGCAAGGCAGAAAAAGGGCUACAGAGAUUAAAAAAUUGGUUUGACCUUAAUAAGCUUUCCUUGAACAUAGAUAAAACUAAAUAUAUUGUCUUCUCCAAAUGGCAAAAUUAAAAUUCAAUUGAAACUGGUAAUUAAUGAUAUUGAAUUAGAAAGAGUUUAUGAAAAUAAAUUUCUUGGUGUGAUUACUGAUUAUAAACUCACCUGGAAAUUACACAUAAGCAGUGUUAAAAACAAAAUAUCUAAAACAAUGGCAAUACUAGAUACACAUAAACAUACUCUAUACAUAUUGUAUUGUGCUCUUUUUCUGCCUUACAUAUUAUAUUGUGUUGAAGUAUGGGGCAAUACGGAUAUAAACAAUAUAAAACCCAUAUUUAUGUUACAGAAAAAAGCUAUUAGAAUAAUCAAUCAUGCUGUAUAUAAAGACUCAACAAAUCCACUAUUAAAUUGCAAAUACUAAAAUUUUAUGAUUUAGUUGAAUUGAACACAAUAAAGUUUAUAUAAAAAGUUAAAAAUAACCUUGUUCCAAAUACUAUACAGACUCUUUUUGACAGUAGAGAUAGACACUAUGAGCUCAGAGGAACUGAGAUGAUUAGAAAACCAACAGUCAGAACAAACACUAAAAUAAACUGUAUUUCUGUUAAAGGAGUACAUCUGUGGAAUAGUUCCACUGAUGAAUUAAAAGUUAGCACUUCUUUUUUACAAUUAAAAACAUUAUAUAAAAAGUCAGCAAUUCAAAGAUACAUGACAGAGAUCUGAUUUGGCUUCAUUUUUUGUUUUGUGGUUUUAAAUUGUUCUUAUUUCUCAGUUAUCACCCUUUAUUGGCUGCAUUGUGAGCUGUUUUUUGUUUGUUUGUUUGUUUGUUUGUUUGUUUGUUUUUUUGAGUAUGUGUGCGUGUGUGUAAAGAGAGUGGGCUAAAUAAGCUUCAGCUUCAGCCUACACCUUUUUGGUCAAUAUGUACAUAUUAGUGUGAACGAAUGAUGUAUAUUUCGAGAUGUAAGACCAGAAUAAAUUCAUUCAUUCAUUCAUUCAUUCUAUGCAUGUUAUCUCAAAUCAUAAAGAUAUCUACAAAAUAUUCAUGAAAAAUUGAAGUGUGAAACAUGCAAGUGUUUGAUGUGAAGUUAUACACAAGUAAAACUGUAGAUUACUGGCUCUGUUAUUUUAUGGAACUAUUUUCAUCUUUUACAGUAAACAGCAGUAUUAUGUCAUGGUAUUAGUCACAUUGGCACUGAACAUGUAUAAUGCUUAGUUAAUUUAAGGCACACCUAUCAUCUGAAUAACGGUCAGGUUUCGUGGUUCUAUUAAAGUCACAUACUUUCACAAAUCCAGGGACAAUAACAAUUCUUUUAGUUAUUCUUGAAGAGUGUCCAUGAUGUUUCUCCAGUUAUUUUCCUUGAACUGUGUAUCACUGCUGCUCCUUGUUCGAGGAAGAAAUUGAGACUUCAUUUCAGCAGCAUUUUUCUUUUCAUCAGUGUGUGUGAGUCUAUAAAAUGUCUUCAGACAUAAUCCAGAGUAAAAACAAAGCAAUUAUGCAGUUGCAGUAAUGAAUUACAGACAUAGAACAGUGCAGUCCAGGCCGGGUUUUAAACUUACUGUAGGUGAACUACCUUACACAGUUUUGCUUAAAUUGUCCUGCAUCAGGAUGGCUGGCUGACCUGCUCACACCUUAAGAAUGAGCCUCAGAUGACAGAGAAACAGGGUAUCUCCUGGAAACUGAACUACUGCAGGAAUGGCGUGCACUUUUCAGCACUGAAAGAAUCACCGAAUUCCAAAAAAUGACAGUAAUUUUCUAUAAGUUACAACAAGUAGGUCUGAAGCAUUUAUUAAGCGCAAUAUUUUUCAUAUGCAUUGCAAUACGUAUACAGCAAUCUCUGGCUGUUGUGUCAGCCUUUGCUGCUUUUCCCUUCUUUCCAGAAUAAUUGGAUGACUUCUAUCUGAAACUAUACAACAGAUGCAUAAAAGAGAAAGGAAAAGGUGAAGGAGCCAAAGGGCCGAUCAGGAGGCCAAGAGACAGGUGGUGCCAGGCGAUCAGGUGUACGUGAAGGUCUUCAGGAGAAUGUGGCACGAGCCAAGAAGGGAAGGGCCAUAGUGAGGGCAAAUCCCACAACAGUCCAAAUCGAAGGAAACACGACGUGGUGUUUUCUGAACCAAUCACCAGGCAACCUAGAGUCGAAAGAGACUGCUUCAAGGAGCCCGAGUCGGACUCUGAAGACGAGGUGCACGAGACAUCCGCUGGAGUCACAGCCGCUCCAGGAAGCAAUGCAUAACCAUGUUCAAGAAAUGGUGUGUGAGAGCAAUGGACAAGGAGCUGAACCUUGUAACGGACAUACAAGGAGCACAAAUGUUAAGUAUGCUGACCCCUGAACAAUUGGUGCGCAGAAUUCUUCUGACGCAGAGGGGGGAGGAAAUACCAGAUUACAUGGGCAAUUCAAAGGACGAGGAGGAACUGUGAGAGAGAAUGAUGAACAAUGGCUGACACUCAUAUUCAUUUUCUGUAUUCAUUUUUGUGUGUUUUUGAUUUUACAAGAGGAAA